AUCCUGGCUCAGAUUGAACGCUGGCGGCAUGCUUUACACAUGCAAGUCGAACGGCAGCGCGGGCGGGGGUAACCUCGCCUGGCGGCGAGUGGCGAACGGGUGAGUAAUAUAUCGGAACGUACCCAAGAGUGGGGGAUAAC
rnacentral:rRNA from 1 species